GCUCGGGUCUCAGAGGGGGAGGGCAAGAGCCGCAUUCCCCAGGGGUCUUUGCACCUGGAGGGGAGAGGAGGAGCUUGCUCGAAGGCCUGGACGAGCUUGCUUUGUUCGCUGCGGAGAAGCACAUGGUCCCCCUGCAGUUUACAGAGUAUCUGCCAUCCUUCAGUGAGAUCUUCAGUGACUCCCAUCUCUACACCCGUCAGAAGAAAGCCAGGUAUCCAGCCGAGAUGAGAGCAUAAUAUGAGUUAAAAAUUGCUCGUAUAAAAGAAGUCCUGUGCUGAGAGCUGUUGUCUGUGGGAUUCUCUGGAUUUGGUAAGGCACAUUUGGCUCCAUCACACUGGCAGGAAUGAAACAAUAUUUCCUGAGCACUGACCUCUUCGACACUUGUGUGGACUCAGCAUCUUAAUUGCUGUUAGUGUGAAUCACCGAAAGCUGGUGCAUAAUUUCUCGAGACAUUUAUUGGAGAUCUACAGUAGACAUUCACUCUCAAUAACAAAAAUAAAGAAAUCCAUAAAUCCCAUGAAACUUUCCCCUACUUCAUUUCAAGUUGUUUAUACAAGAAACUUCAUGUCGUAAUAACACUUUUUGGCCUUUGUUUGAUUGGAAAUUUCUAUUAAAC